rnacentral:tRNA from 1 species
GGCAGUGUGGCUCCGUGGUAGAGCACUUGCCUAGUAGAUAGAAGGCUCUGGGUCAAUUCCCAGCACUGCGA